rnacentral:rRNA from 1 species
GGGGGGGGCAAGCGUUGUUCGGAAUUACUGGGCGUAAAGGGCUCGUAGGCGGCCAACUAAGUCGGACGUGAAAUCCCCAGGCUCAACCUGGGAACUGCGUCCGAUACUGGAUGGCUCGAAUCCGGGAGAGGGAUGCAGAAUUCCAGGUGUAGCGGUGAAAUGCGUAGAUAUCUGGAGGAAUACCGGUGGCGAAGGCGGCAUCCUGGACCGGCAUUGACGCUGAGGAGCGAAAGCCAGGGGAGCAAACGGGAUUAGAUACCCCGGUAGUCCUGGCCCUAAACGAUGAAUGCUUGGUGUAACGGGUAUCGAUCCCUGUUGUGCCGAAGCUAACGCAUUAAGCAUUCCGCCUGGGGAGUACGGUCGCAAGGCUG